ensembl:lncRNA
GUGUGUUUCUAAAUAAAAAGCUUCUUUGCAGCAGACUGCAGCAGCCAGCUUCACACUUUUUCAAAGGAAAAGCUUCACCUUCGCUGUUCCUUGCCAGUACACCUCAUUUAAAUUGAGCCUGGCUUUUUGACGACCGCCCAAGGAGGUUUCUCUGCAAUGUGAGGAGAACCACUGCACAGGGCUCGCUUGUUCCAAAGUAUGCUGGAGGGGUGCGGAGAAGUGAGCUGGCAGGGGAAAGAAUACAAAGUGCAACCCGAGCGAGCAGCCUGACCUCGCCAACCACAGUUCUGCUGUCCCCCGGCAGCUUUCACACGGCCGUGAUGCGUGCAGGCAGAUUGGAAGCACAGCUCGCAGUCCCAGGCAGCCCCACCUCAAAAAAGCAAGACAGAAAUGCCCGCAGAAAAAGAAAAGCUUUACACAACAGUGCAAGGAAGGAAGUGAAGAAAGCAGUUUGCCAUGCUGCAGCACACCAACAAUUUCCUGCAGCUCCUUAGGCCUGUGAGGAGAUCUUCUGAAACGCACUGUGGCAGGAACUUCAUGUUUCUGGGAUAUUCUUAACAUCAAGCUCUUGCAUCCCUUGGCUACUCAAAGCUCCCGAGGGACCUGGGGAAGUUAUGGCCCAGCCAAGUCCACUUAUUCCCACAGUUUGCUUUCCACACCUCAUUAAAAAAGUGAUCCAAGAUUUCUCUUCAAAGCUUCAGCAGCCCUGCACAUUGAAAAGAAACCUUUGGGAAGCAAACCAGCACACACUGUUAAGUGCACACAGUACUCUGAGAAGGAUUAUUUGACAAUACAGAAGAAUUUCAGUGCAAAAACUUAAAGAGAAAAAAGUAUCUCAAAAA